rnacentral:rRNA from 1 species
UACGAAGGGGCUAGCGUUGCUCGGAAUCACUGGGCGUAAAGGUGCGUAGGCGGGUCUUUAAGUCAGAGGUGAAAUCCUGGAGCUCAACUCCAGAACUGCCUUUGAUACUGAGGAUCUUGAGUUCGGGAGAGGUGAGUGGAACUGCGAGUGUAGAGGUGAAUUCGUAGAUAUUCGCAAGAACACCAGUGGCGAAGGCGGCUCACUGGCCCGAUACUGACGCUGAGGCACGAAGCGUGGGAGCAAACAGG